AUGCUCUGUUGCAUGGUUUUAUUAUCAGGCAAGCCUGCUUUCUUAAAUAAUUAUUCACUUACAGGGCUCUCCCAUACUUUUUUCUUUACUUAUGACUCUCCCUAUUUAGUGUCAACUAUUAGCCAUCUCCUUAAUUCUAUCUGCCACCUUAAUUUGUCUUGGUCACGUAACCUAAAAUAUUCAUGGACUCCAGCAUUUCAGACCCAAACAUCUUUCAGUUGCAGGGAAGGGAGCAUCACGCUGCUUUCUACAGAGGAGUUCCAGAAAGGGUCUGGAGGAGGCAGAGCAUCUAGUUCAUCAGUGCAGUGAUGUCAUCAAAGACCCAACUCUGUUUCAGAAUCACCAGUCCAAGGAGAAGAAUAUAUUUAUCUCAUGUCCGCUGAGGUGUAACAUCACCAGAACCAAAGGGAAUGAAGAGAGAGAGCUGAAAGACUGGAAGGCAUUGUUUUCUUUCUAGGUCUUACAGAUGUUGGAGUUAUUUUGCUCAGUAACUUACUGAAAAUAUAAGAUCCUUAUGAUUAGUUAAGGUUGUCUUAAUUUCUUUAUUUUUGCAAUGGAAAAUCUGCAAAAACUGUGAGAAAGCUCUGAGUUGUUUAGGAUCAUGGAAAACUCUCUUUGGAAGAAGUACAUGGUAGCACACAAGAAAACAGAAGGCACAGUCUCUGAGGUCCUAAUAAGAAAAGAGGUGAUGAGGAAGGUGUCUGUCAAGAUUUCCUCUGUGCAGAAGGUUGCAUAGUCUCCUCAUUUAAGGCUUCUAAAACAAUAUUAAAGAAAGAAAACCUAUGGAGCAUUUGCGUUCCUAAGAUCAUUCUUUUGCUUUAUAUACAAUUUGUCAGGUAGUUCUAGAGUUUAAUAUUUUGUUCUCUGUUUCAAAAUUGGAAAGAUACAAAGGGACCUUAGAGCUCAAAGGAACAACUCAAAGAGAAAGAUAGGUCUUGUGAAAAGAUUUAAGAAGAAAGAUUAUAAAAAGAAAACAUCAUCUAUUAUUGGCCAUAAAGAAGAGAUGAAAUUUGGCUGAUUAUUUUGGCAUCAAACAAAAAGGCGUAAAAUGGCCUAGAAAUGGCAAGCCUCUUCUUAGUAAUCAUUCUUUUAAUACUAAGAUUUUUAUUAAAGUAUAUUUAUAAUUAGUCUGUGUUCAGUACCCUUGAAGAGCAACCAUUCUUUCAUUUUGAUGAAAUAACUUUUCUCCAGCAUUUGUUUGUAGACUUUAUGAUGGCCAUUCUGACCUGUGUGAGGUAAUAUCUCAUUAUGAUUUUGACUUGCAUUUUUCAAAUAAUUAGCAAUGCAGAGCAUCUGCAGUGCCAGUUGGCCAUCUGUAUGUCUUCUUUGGAAAAAUGUAUAGUUUACAUGUAAUUGUCCAGCUUUCACACAAUCCAGCAUCAUGGGUUAUCAUCCCUUUUCUUUGAAUCGUCUUUGAUUUCCUUUAUCAAUGUCUCAUAGUUUUCAGCAUAUAAACCUUUCACCUCCUUGGUUAAGUUUAUUCCUAGGCAUGUUUUUAUGGGAUUUUUUUUUUUUUUUUACUGUCUCUGGUAUUUCAUUACGAAUGUAUAGAAAUGCAAUGGAUUUCCAUGUAUCAAUCUUGUAUGCAACCACCGUGCUGAAAUCAUUUGUUAGUUCUAAUAGGUUUUUGUGUGUUUUUUUUUUUUUUUUUGUGGAGACUUUAGGGUUCAUUACAUAGAGUAUCUUGUCAUCUGACGAUAGUGACAGUUUUACCUCUUAUUUUCCAAUUUAGAUACCUUUUAUUUAUUUUCUUACCUGAUUGCUGUGACUAGGAUUUCUAACACUGUGUUACAUAGAAACAAUUAAAGUGGACAUCCUUGUCUUCUUCCUGAGUUUAGUGGGAAGGCUUUCAGCUUUUCACCACUAAGUAUUAUGUUAGCGGUGGGUUUGUCAUAAAUGGUUUUUAUUAUGUUGAGAUGUGUUACCUCUGGUGAGACUUUUUACCAUGAAUGAAUGUUGAAUUUUGUCAAAUGCUUUUUCUGUGUCUGCUGAGAUGAUUGUGUGGUUUUAUCUUUCCUUUUGUUAAUGUGAUGUAUCACAUGGAUUGAUGUGUAUAUUGAAUCAUCCUUAUGACACUGGAAUGAAUCCAAAUUGAUCAUGGUGUAUGGUCCUCUUUGUGCAUUAUUGGAUUUAGUUUGUUAAAUAGUGUUGAAGAUCUUUUACUGUUUAGAUAAUUAUUACCAAAAUUAUUACAUUCCUGCUAAUAUGAGGACCCAGUGAGGGAAAAAUUGUGUCUAUUUUGUUCACUGCUUCUAGGUAUAUAGGCUUUUAGUAGGCAUUGAAUGAAAUUUUUUUCCUAUUAAAUUGAACAUCUUUGGAUAUAAUAAACAUUUAGUUUCAAAGGUGUUUAUAUAAAUCAAAUGUAUUAGAUAUCUUAAUUCAAAGUGGAAAGAAUAUUUGUUCAUAUUUUGAAAGGUAGAGGUAAUGUUCUAAGAAAUUCUUUCUAGUUUCUUGGAGUCAGGAUGGCUAAAAAUAUAUACCUAGUUCUCAACUUCUUUCUCAGAAUUCUCAGCAUAGUCCUGGAGUUACUCAGAAUCAGAUAAUUGGAACAGGUGCAUGCAACACAACCUAGUUGGUAUUUCAAAAAACCAUCCGAUUUUGUACUCUAUAUAGAUAUUUGAAAUUAUGUAUUAACUGAUGAUCCUAGCGUAGAAACAACCUUAGCCUACGUUUUACUAUAAAUCAAUCUCUUUGCUUUGCUUUCCCAUUGUAAUGACUUAUAGGACCUUGAGCAAUGAUUUGGGACAAAUUAUCAUUUCAGAUUCAGCCAAAAUUACUUUUGGUUUUUAAACUGUACAAAUCUGAAUGAUUCUGAAAGCUUGGAUUCUAGUAGCAGCUCUGUUUUGGCAAAGCUAAACCUAGAUUUAUAAAUAUUAAUGUGUCUAGAUGAUAUAUCUCAAGUUAUUAUCCUUAACAUUUUUGAAUAAAUUCUGGAUAGAAAAGAAACACAUUUUUCAGCUACUUUUGAAAAGCCAUAUGUUAAGUGGCCAGGAGGGUCAAGAUAGUUCUAAUAGAUCACAUAAUAGAGGCAGUCUUAAAUUGUAGAGAAUUAUCUUGCAUAAUUAAUUUGAGGUUCAGAGACAAGAUAAUCAGUAUCAUUUUCUCUAACAAUCAGGCAUCUUUAAUUGAGUAUUGCCUCUCUAUCCUUAGGGGACCUUUUUCCAAUUUGAGCAUAGAGUUGAAAGUGUCAGUUUCAAUCAGUCUUGUACCAGAGGGUACCAUUUUCCCAUAUAAGUAUCAUCAAAGAGAUCUGAAGAUGCUUUUUCCCUGAGGGCUUAGAUACUGAACUUCCAUGAUGCAUUGUAUCUUUUUGCAUGCAUCAGAAUCUCAGUUUCUCUCCAAGCAAAUAUUAAGAUUGUUUCCAAUUAUAACUUGCCUAAUUGUUUACAGAUACAAUGCUUUUCUUAUUUUAAUUAAAAAAUGUACUAGCAAAAAAAUUUUUUUUUUUGUCUUUGUGUAUAGAUGGAUGGGGGCUUCCCUGGUGGCUCAGAAGCUCAGGAGUCUGCCUGCCCUGCAGGAGCCCUGAAUUUGAUUCCUGAGUCAGGAAGAUCCUAUGGAGGAGGGCAUGGCGACCCACUCCAGUAUUCUUGCCUGGAGAAUCCCAUGGACAGAGGGGCCUGGCAGGCCACAGUUGCCAUGGAUGUGGUCUCAAAGAGUCAGACACAACUGAGUGACUUACGUUUUCACUUUAUUUCAUAGAUGGAUAAAGUAUAUGUCUUGACAUUUGCCAAGCAGUUGAUUUAAAAUUUUUGUCUCAUAAUUAAAAGUAAUUAUAAAACAUUAAAGAAAGCAACAGCUUUUGGAAUAUCACUGUAUAAAAAUUUGAAAAAUUAUGAAACUUCCUGGAAAUAAUUAGAAAUAUUGGGCUGAAAUGCAGUUUGAGUGCAUAAAAUCAUAGCAGAAUAAAAUAUCACAAAUCACUCAAAAUACUAGCACUGUUUUUCAGAGAGUUUUUAUUGACAGAUUUAAAAAAAUCAAUUAAUUAUAUAAAUUUUACUAAAAGUUAUAAAAUUUAUUUAGUUCAUCAGACUAUGAAAGUAAAGAGGUUUAAUUAUAGUUUUGUGAGGAGUUAAAACUUCAAGUAGGGAUACCAUAGAGAAAUGGUAACUCUCAACUGAAAAUAUCAGUGCUUCUAGGAGGAGAUAAUUCUAUGCCUUGGGAAAGAGAUAUUUCAAGAUUAGGCUAGAAAUUUUUGUUACCAGCAAGCAAGUACAUUUUGAAAUGUUCUGAUAUGCUGUUGACAAGACUUGGAAGCCAACUUAAAAAGACCUCCCACUGGCUAAGCUGUGACAAUUUGAGCAUAAAAAUAGGCAAUAAAAAUAACAGUUGAUUAAAACAGCAGCACCUAAAAGAAGCCAUUAUUCAUAAUUGUGUUUAAAGGACAACAGAACUUAAUUU
rnacentral:lncRNA from 1 species